rnacentral:tRNA from 3 species
GGAAACGUGCCCGAAAUUAAGGGUUACUUUGAUAGAGUAAAACACAGAGGUUAAAACCCUCUCGUCUCCC